AACGAACGCUGGCGGCAGGCUUAACACAUGCAAGUCGAGCGCCCCGCAAGGGGAGCGGCAGACGGGUGAGUAACGCGUGGGAAUCUACCAUCUCUACGGAAUAACGCAUGGAAACGUGUGCUAAUACCCUUUACGUCCUUCGGGAGAAAGAUUUAUCGGAGAUGGAUGAGCCCGCGUUGGAUUAGCUAGUUGGUGGGGUAAAGGCCUACCAAGGCGACGAUCCAUAGCUGGUCUGAGAGGAUGAUCAGCCACACUGGGACUGAGACACGGCCCAGACUCCUACGGGAGGCAGCAGUGGGGAAUAUUGGACAAUGGGCGCAAGCGUGAUCCAGCCAUGCCGCGUGAGUGAUGAAGGCCCUAGGGUUGUAAAGCUCUUUCACCGGUGAAGAUAAUGACGGUAACCGGAGAAGAAGCCCCGGCUAACUUCGUGCCAGCAGCCGCCGUAAAAC
rnacentral:rRNA from 1 species